AAGAACCCAACAGGGAUUGCCCCAGUAACGGCGAGUGAAGCGGCAACAGCUCAAAUUUGAAAUCUGGCUCUCAGGGCCCGAGUUGUAAUUUGUAGAGGAUGCUUUUGGCGAGGUGCCUUCCGAGUUCCCUGGAACGGGACGCCACAGAGGGUGAGAGCCCCGUAUGGUCGGACACCGAGCCUCUGUAAAGCUCCUUCGACGAGUCGAGUAGUUUGGGAAUGCUGCUCAAAAUGGGAGGUAUAUGUCUUCUAAAGCUAAAUAUUGGCCAGAGACCGAUAGCGCACAAGUAGAGUGAUCGAAAGAUGAAAAGCACUUUGAAAAGAGGGUUAAAAAGUACGUGAAAUUGUUGAAAGGGAAGCGCCUAUGACCAGACUUGCGCCCGGUGAAUCACCCAGCGUUCUCGCUGGUGCACUUUGCCGGGCACAGGCCAGCAUCAGUUCAGCGCGGGGGAGAAAGGCUUCGGGAAUGUGGCUCCCUCGGGAGUGUUAUAGCCCGCUGCGUAAUGCCCUGCGCCGGACUGAGGUACGCGCAUUGCAAGGAUGCUGGCGUAAUGGUCAUCAGCGACCCGUCUUGAAACACGGACCAAGGAGUCGUCUUCGUAUGCGAGUGUUCGGGUGUCAAACCCCUACGCGUAAUGAAAGUGAACGCAGGUGAGAGCUUCGGCGCAUCACCGACCGAUCCUGAUGUUCUCGGAUGGAUUUGAGUAAGAGCAUACGGGGCCGGACCCGAAAGAAGGUGAACUAUGCCUGUAUAGGGUGAAGCCAGAGGAAACUCUGGUGGAGGCUCGCAGCGGUUCUGACGUGCGAAUCGAUCGUCAAUAUGGGCAUGGGGGCGAAAGACUAAUCGACC
rnacentral:rRNA from 1 species